AAAGCAACGCAUAAAUGGACCGACAGUCCCAAAUGUAAUCCGGCGGUCGCCUUUGAAAUGUUCCCAAAUGAACAAUCCGUUUAAAGGCAGGCCGCCGGUAUAAAAUUGUACCAGUUUAUGCUGGUUUGAGAAGAUUUGCUGGCCAGACACCAAGAUUUUUCCCGGUAGGAUCAACCAGCUCGUAGGACGAAGACCCCUUUUUGGCGAGAACUUUCGCCGAUCACCCUCCCCGGAAAUCCUGGAGUAGUCAUCCCCUGAUGCCAUUUCGCAACCAUGGACGACGAAAUGAGGACUAAACCCGGUAGACGAAUGAACCGUGGUAUUUAGGAUGCGUUCCACAUCAGAAAUGCGGGCAUCCCAGUUGCGCUGGUCCGUGCGGGCGUACGCGCGUAUUGCCGUAUUUAUAGAACGAUUCGUUCGUUCUACCGGGAACCGGCUGAAUUCUUUGGAGAUGAACGUCGAACCAUUAUCGCUCAACAGGAUUUCCGGACUUCCAUGGCGGUUGAACCAUUGUUCGCGAAGGAUCGC